AAAGUACUCCCUCCGUCCCAAAAUUCUUGUCUUAGAUUUGUCUAGAUACGGAUGUAUCAAGUCACAUUUUAGUAUUAGAUACAUCCGUAUCUAGGCAAAUCUAAGACAAGAAAUUUGGGACAGAGGGAGUAGUUG
rnacentral:pre_miRNA from 1 species